rnacentral:rRNA from 1 species
GAUGAACGCUAGCGAUAGGCCUAACACAUGCAAGUCGAGGGGCAGCACAUGAGGUAGCAAUACCGAUGGUGGCGACCGGCGCACGGGUGAGUAACACGUAUGCAACCUGCCUUCAACAAGGGCAUAACCCGUUGAAAGACGGACUAAUACCCUAUAAUACAGGGGCCCCGCAUGGGGAUAUUUGUUAAAGAUUUAUCGGUUGAAGAUGGGCAUGCGUUCCAUUAGCUGGUUGGUGGGGUAACGGCCCACCAAGGCAACGAUGGAUAGGGGAACUGAGAGGUUUAUCCCCCACACUGGUACUGAGACACGGACCAGACUCCUACGGGAGGCAGCAGUGAGGAAUAUUGGUCAAUGGACGCAAGUCUGAACCAGCCACGUCGCGUGAAGGAAGACGGCCCUAACGGGUUGUAAACUUCUUUUAUACGGGAAUAAAGUGCCCCACGUGUGGGGUUUUGCAAGUACCGUAUGAAUAAGGAUCGGCUAACUCCGUGCCAGCAGCCGCGGUAAAUCACU